GUGAGGAAUUUUCCGCAAUGGGCGAAAGCCUGACGGAGCAAUGCCGCGUGAAGGAUGAAGGCCUAUGGGUUGUAAACUUCUUUUCUCAGAAAAGAAUUAUGACGGUAUCUGAGGAAUAAGCAUCGGCUAACUCUGUGCCAGCAGCCGCGGUAAGACAGAGGAUGCAAGCGUUAUCCGGAAUGAUUGGGCGUAAAGCGUCUGUAGGUUGUUUAAAAAGUAUUCUGUCAAAGAUUAGGGCUUAACCCUAGAUAGGCAGAAUAAACUUUUAAGCUAGAGGUUGGUAGAGGCAGAGGGAAUUCCCGGUGGAGCGGUGAAAUGCGUAGAUAUCGGGAGGAACACCAAAGGCGAAGGCACUCUGCUGGGCCAAUACUAACACUGAGAGACGAAAGCGAGGGGAGCAAAUGGGAUUAGAUACCCUGGUAGUCC
rnacentral:rRNA from 1 species